rnacentral:rRNA from 1 species
UACGUAGGGGGCAAGCGUUGUCCGGAAUCAUUGGGCGUAAAGAGCUCGUAGGCGGCUCGUCGCGUCGACCGUGAAAACCCGCGGCUUAACUGCGGGCUUGCGGUUGAUACGGGCGGGCUAGAGUUCGGUAGGGGAGACUGGAAUUCCUGGUGUAGCGGUGAAAUGCGCAGAUAUCAGGAGGAACACCGGUGGCGAAGGCGGGUCUCUGGGCCGAUACUGACGCUGAGGAGCGAAAGCGUGGGGAGCGAACAGG